CUAUCCUUGGGAUUUUCCUCACUAGGAGGUCAGGGCCCCCUGUGGCUCACAAGAUGCCUCCUGGUCUGAGGGUGGGGCUGCUGGGAGGAGGGCUCUGGCUCGGCCAUGCAAGAGCCAGAGAUAAAGAAGCAGGGGUCUGAGGAGCAGCCACAGGCCUCACAGAUGCACAGGGUCUCACUACUUCCCUCCCAACCCCCCCGCCACACACACACACAGGGCUGGGCCAGCAUGAUUCUAGUCACCUGAAUCCAUUGCACACAUAACACACAAGCACAUCUUGCUGGUGCAUGUUUUUGUGCAUGGAUGCACAUGUGGGGCCCAUGUUGGUGUAGGGUUAAGUAUGUGCGUGUAUGUCAGGAGUUGUGUGAUUCAAUGUGUGUCUGAGGGUUGUACAGGUGUAGAGGAGGCAUAGAUAGGUUUGUGAGUGUUUAUCUGAGUUGAGCAGGCUGGCCUCUAGCUCAAAAAGCAAAUUCAGCCUGCCAGGGUCCCUGAAGGAGUAAUUAAAGCAAGACCAGGGGGGAGAAAGAGACCCUGCUGACAUUAGUGCAUUGGGAGGUUUUUAGUGUGUAAUUAAGUGCAUAAAUGCUGCAUGUGUGCACGCACACAUGUGCGGGCCUUUUCCAGACAGGCCAGCUCUCUCCCUGUCCCACACUGACAGCCUGCCCCAAGUCAUCUGCCUCUCCCCAGAACAGGGCCGCUGGAGUGGGCAGGCUGGGGUUGGUCCAGUCCAAGGCCCGGGAACUCCCAGGAGUUCCUUCCUGGCUCUGCUUCCCAGCCCUGCCCCCAGCUCACUCAGCCUGCUGGGUCAGCUCGGGCUGAGUCUGGGGCUCUGGCAGAUCCCUGCAAGGACAUGAGUUAUCUGUCCUUUCAUGUAAGGAUUUCCACAGCUCGGAGAAGGCUCCUCUGGGACCACAGUCAGGCCUCAUAGAAGAGAUGCACCCGGGCUAGUAUCCCAUGAAGGGACCCUCAGUCAAUCCACUCCUACCUCUGGGUCCCUGAGGGUCUGGUUCAUUGUGGAUGUGCUUCUCCCAUAGGCAGGCCAUCUCUAGGCAUCUCUGUCCCAGCACAUCUUGCUGGUGCAUGUUUCUGUGCAUGGAUGUACAUGUUGGUGUGUAUAAGUGUGUGCUGUGUAUGUCAGGAGUUGUGUGAUGCGAUGUGUGUCUGAGGGUUGUACAGGUGUAGAGGAGGUGUUGAUAGGUUUGUGAGUGUGUGUACGUUGAUGAGUAGACAAGGCAUGGAUCCUAGAGCAAGUAAGCCUGAAACAUUGCUGGAGGCAAAAAUGACAAACUGAAGCUGUCCUACUUUGGGCACUUCAUGAGAAAGCAGGGUUCUUUGGAAAAAGCAAUAAUGCUGGGAAAAAUAGAAAGCAGCAGGAAAAGAGGAAGACCAAAUAUGGAUGAACUCCAUAAAAGGAGCCACAGACAUGAGCCCAGCUGAGCAGAGCUAUUGAGGACAGGACAUCGUGACCAUCACUCAUUUACAGGAAUCACCAGGAAUCAGAGCGAACUCAAUGGCACAUAACAACAGCAAUGAGGCAUGACUGUGGCACAUGUAUGGGGUGUGUGCACAGGAUGUGCAUAUGAGGCACAGGUGUGGGACAGGUAAUUGGGAUGUGUCUAUGGGCCGUGUAUAUGGGGCAUAUAUAGGAGCAUGGGGACAUGCAUGUGGCAUGGAUGUGAGAUACAUGUGAGCUGUGUGAGUUGGAUGCGUGUGUGUUAUGUGGAUGUGUGCAAUGGGUUCAGGUGACUGGAAACUAUUCUGCUGAGAGACAGAUGCUGGAGAUAAAACUGGGUCACAUCCUUCAAGAUAGCCUCAGCUGCUAUCUCUGCAGCCUCCCCUACUCCCUUCUCACCCCCCACCAGUGCCUUGACCAGGUUGGAAAAUGUGGAGGGGCCUCUGCCCCAGGCCUCCAAGGAUAGCUCGCCACACACUUCUUGGGGGUAAGGGUCCUCAGGCCAGGACACCCACUAGGGGGACAGUCUGAAUGCUUCCUGGACAUAGUAGGUGCCCAGUGUAAGAUGGAGGGACAAUGGGUGGUGGGUGAUGAUUACAGUGACCUGCCAAGGACAGAGAAAAGGCGUAUGUCUAAGGCUACAGCGAUGGCUAAAGGGGCAGGGCUGCCCUCUGCCCUGCCCCAAACCCUCCUUUGUCCCUUUGCUGACGUUCUCAUCUUGUUUCCAUCCCGUCUUCUUUCACUCAUUUUCUCUCCUCACUCUAGCAUUCCCUCUCCUGGGCAUUAAUUAUUUUUUCUUAAAAUAUGAUAUGCACCCAGAAAGUGUAGAAAUCUUCCAUAUACAGCUCAAUUAAUUUUCACAAAUUGAACACAUCCAUGUACCCAGCAUCCAGAUCAAGAAACAGAAUAUUACUAGCCUUCCUGUACCCUUUCUAGUCACCACUUCCCAAGGAUAACCACUCUGACUUCUAACACUGUAGAUUAGUUUUGUCUAAUUAGUCAUUUUUAACCCCUGCACCUGAGUCCUUCCCAACUCAGGAGCAACAUUAACCCUUUCAUGAAUGUGAGAGGUGAGGAGAAAGCAGUAUGGUCAUGCUAUCUGUCCCCACUUCCCUACCCACUGAUGGCAGGCAAAGGAUGAAGGACCUAGCUGGCCCUCAUCACAGACACCUGUCAAGAGUCUCCACAGCCCCUGCUUGAGUGUUUCAAGGCUAAAAUCCAUAGCUUGACAAUGAAUAACCUCUCUAUAUAAAAGCCUAAUAUGCAGUGUCCCCUCCGGAGCUCAACCUACUGGGAGUCUGAUUGCUCGCUAUGACAUGCGCUGACCACCAGGGGGCGGUGGGGAAUGAAGGACGGCCCCGGCAGGCAGCCACUAGGGACCCUACCCGUGCACAAAUUUCAUGCACUGGGCCUCUAGUUAAUUUAUAUAAGUGUGUUAGUUAGGGCAAUGUUAGCUGCUAUAACAAACUCUAAAAUUUCAGUAACUUAUCACUACUUAUUAUUUCUCAUUCUAUAACAGUCUUAUGCUGAUGUUCUUGGUCAGCAGGCAGCUCUUCUCCAUGUGAUGAUACAGGUACCCAAACUCCUUCCAUCUUGUGGCUCUCUCUCCCCUCCCCAGGGCCUUGGAGUUUUGAGCAUCCUGCCAACAGACAGGAGAAGAGGACAAAGAGGGCCACCUGCUCUUUAGGUGGCUUUUCCAGGAAAAUGUCACUUCUGCCUACAUUCCAUUGUUGCUUCCAGAUCCCUGAGCUGCCAUAUGAGAAGCCUGACAACUCUGCUAGUGACAACACAAGAGGAGGCCUGAGACUACCUGGAGAAGGCAAGAAGGAAAGCUGAGCCCAGCCCUCCGGCCAUCCCCACCAGAGCCCAGACCUUCCAAUCCACAACCAUUAAUCAGCUGAAAACCACCAGGUGAUUCCAUUUAAUGCUUCAUGGAGCAGAAGAGUCACUUAGACAAGUCCUGCCCAAAUUUCUGAUCCACAAACUUGUGAGAUAUAAUAAAAUGGUUGUUGUUUUGAGUCA